CGUUAAUCAGGCGAGCUCCGCUUUCUCUCUGAGCUCUCCCUGCUUCUAUCCACAGCUGUGCUCCAGGUGGGGAACACCUAUGGAUGCACCAGGGUGCAACUACUCAGAGUCAAGCAUGCAGAAGGGCCCCUGCUCUAUGCUGUUUCCAUAUCCAAGCCCAAGCUCUUCUAGAGCUUCAGCAAAUCCAAGCCUCCCUGAAUUCCCUGCAAGACCAAACUGAGCCCUACAACCCCCACCACUCUGGUUAGCUGCCAGUCCCAGCC
rnacentral:lncRNA from 1 species